rnacentral:rRNA from 1 species
GACGAACGCUGGCGGCGUGCCUAAUACAUGCAAGUAGGACGCAGUUGCGAACGGGUGAGUAACGCGUAGGUAACUGCCUCUUAGAGGGGGAUAAAUAUUGGAAACGAUAGCUAAUACCGCAUACUAGUAGAUGGACCUGAGUUGUAUUAGCUAGUGGGUAGGGUAAUGGCCUACCUAGGCGACGAUACAUAGCCGACCUGCGAGGGUGAUCGGCCACACUGGGAACGGGAAACGGCCCAGACUCCUACGGGAGGGAGCAGUAGGGAAUAUUUGGCAAUGGGGGGAACCCUGACCGAGCCACGCCGCGUUAGUGAAGAAGGUUUUCGGAUCGUAAAGCCCUGUUGUUAAGGAAGCGGUACUUAACCAGAAAGGGACGGCUAACUACGUGCCAGCCGCCGCGGUAAUAC